rnacentral:rRNA from 1 species
UACGGGGGGAGCAAGCGUUGUUCGGAUUUACUGGGCGUAAAGGGCGCGUAGGCGGCGCAACAAGUCACUUGUGAAAUCUCCGGGCUUAACUCGGAACGGUCAAGUGAUACUGUUGUGCUAGAGUGCGGAAGGGGCAACUGGAAUUCUCGGUGUAGCGGUGAAAUGCGUAGAUAUCGAGAGGAACACCUGCGGCGAAGGCGGGUUGCUGGGCCGACACUGACGCUGAGGAGCGAAAGCGUGGGGAGCGAACAGG